CAGCCGCCACGGGAAUACGAAGGGGGCUAGCGUUGUUCGGAUUAACUGGGCGUAAAGGGCGCGUAGGCGGGUUUUUAAGUCAGAGGUGAAAUCCCAAGGCUCAACCUUGGAACUGCCUUUGAUACUGGAAGUCUUGAGUCCGGGAGAGGUGAGUGGAACUGCGAGUGUAGAGGUGAAAUUCGUAGAUAUUCGCAAGAACACCAGUGGCGAAGGCGGCUCACUGGCCCGGUACUGACGCUGAGGCGCGAAAGCGUGGGGAGCAAACAGGAUUAGAUACCCCGGUAGUCCCUGUCUCUUAUAC
rnacentral:rRNA from 1 species